CAGCAGCCGCGGGAAUACGAAGGGUGCAAGCGUUACUCGGAAUUACUGGGCGUAAAGCGUGCGUAGGUGGUGGUUUAAGUCCGUUGUGAAAGCCCUGGGCUCAACCUGGGAAUUGCAGUGGAUACUGGGUCACUAGAGUGUGGUAGAGGAUAGUGGAAUUUCCGGUGUAGCAGUGAAAUGCGUAGAGAUCGGAAGGAACAUCUGUGGCGAAAGCGGCUCACUGGACCAUAACUGACGCUGAUGCACGAAAGCUAGGGGAGCAAACAGGAUUAGAUACCCGCGUAGUCCCUGUCUCUUAUAC
rnacentral:rRNA from 1 species